ACACACGUGCACAUACUCUUGUAUGCACACAUUCAUACUUACACACAUAUAAAAAUACAUGCAUAUGCAUUUAUACAUACAUCUAUGCACACAUACUUCCCUUCUCCAAACUUGUAUUAGUUUCAGGAGAAAAAGUAUACCUAAAAGAAAUCAGAUGCAGAGCCCAAGGACCAGACAAGCUGUGGACCAAAUUGGGAGCUGAGGACUAUAGAUAGCCUCCAGAGAUAGAGGCUGGCUCAUGGUUUUGGUUAUAAAGCCAAGUCAGACAGAGCAAGCAGAAAGACAGACUAAUAAUUUGUCCAAGUCUGGGUCCAUGGAACCAGAUCAGGACAGAAAGUUACUUAUGCCAGCUGGCCUGGUCAGCCAUGUGGCAAGUGGAGGGCAACCUUGAAUCUUUACUGGUUGCAGGGUGUUAAGAUAUAGACUGAUGUUAUGGAUCUGAAAAAUAGGAUGGAAUCUCUGAGAAAACUUUAUAUGUGCCUUUACAUGCCCUCUACAUCUUAGUAUGUUCUUUGACAUGUUCAUUUAUUUACUUCUAGAAAAAGAGAUCAAAUCAUAGGUUUUCAUGUCACUUGUUCACAUAUAUCAACCCUGUGGUUUGCCAAGGACUGGUCUUAUAGACAUUUGCAAGACCUGUAAUGUUGUCUAUUAUGUCCUAGCUCUACAGUGUAUACAGGCCAGAGUACUGCUAGUCUUCCUACAAUGCACACAGUGCCUACAGUAAAGUAUAAUCUGGUCCACAGCAUCCACAGUACUAAGAUUAAGAAUCCCUGCUCAAAGGAACAAGCGUUGUCUGUGCCAACCAUGAUUCCUAGCUCUGCUCAUAAAUCCUCCUACCCACAAUAUAGGUACCAAGAUGACUUAAUUUUCCAAAGAAAACAAAGACUCUGGAUAAAAUUGUCUUCAUUAAUGUAAGAUAUGCUUAUUGGACAAUUGAGAAUGUCCUAUGCUUGAAAACAUGCUCACUCAGGCAUCUGAUCUCUCUGCUUAUCCAAUAAGAGCAUCUAGGUGCACAAGAUCAGAAAAGAAUCAGGUAAUAAGUGAGAGGGGCAUAUGUACAUAAGAGGUACACAUAUCUCAUAAAUGCUACUGUUUAUGAAGAAGAUGCUCCAUUCCCACCUUCACACACACACACACACACACACACACACACACACACACACACACACAGGUUUUCAUACUUUGCUAGGAAGCAGGUAGAGAUAUUUCUCCUGUUAUUAGAUGCUUGAUAAAAAUCUGUUCCCUGUCAGCUUCAGGUUUCUCCCUGUGCUGAUGCUGAUGCUGAUGCUGAUGCUGAUGCUGAUGCUGAUGCUGAUGCUGGGCCUAUUGCAGUAGGCAUGGGCUCUUUCUGAAACUCCUGACUGAUAAGAGGGAGGACAGAGGCAGUAUAUGCUAGAAAGGGAGAAUUAACGCAAGAAUCAGACUCUCUUGCUGUAGUUCUCAUCCUUAUUACCUGCUAAGUAGACAAUAUUGAACAAAUCAGGCAGUCUCACUGAGUUUGGGCUUUGUCUGUCGGAAUGAUUAUACCUAUCGUGCAGAGUCGCUUCACAAAAUCUAACAAGGCCAAGUUUAUUCUUGUUAUACUGGGCAGAAAAGGCUCCAGAAAUUAGAGCUGUUUACAAGACUGAAGAAAUAGCUUAGUCAGUAAAGUGUUUGCUGUACAAGCUUGAAGAUUUUACUUUAAACUCCAGAACCUAUGUGAAAAUGCCAGGUAUGGCAUAUCCAUUAAUCCCAGUUAUGGGGAGGCAGAAACCAAAAGCUUCCUGGAGUUCAUUAGCCAGCCUUGCUAAACCAGCAAGUGCCAAACCAAUGAGAUACCCUGCCAUGCACACGC
rnacentral:lncRNA from 1 species